rnacentral:sRNA from 1 species
GAGCCCGGAGGUUAACACCCGACAGCGCGUUGCGCCCUCGGGUGCUAAACUG